rnacentral:rRNA from 1 species
UACGUAGGGUGCAAGCGUUGUCCGGAAUUAUUGGGCGUAAAGAGCUCGUAGGCGGCUUGUCGCGUCGGCUGUGAAAACUCGGGGCUCAACUCCGAGCUUGCAGUCGAUACGGGCAGGCUAGAGUUCGGCAGGGGAGACUGGAAUUCCUGGUGUAGCGGUGAAAUGCGCAGAUAUCGGGAAGAACACCCGUGGCGAAGGCGGCUCUCUGGGACGGUACUGACGCUGAGACGCGAAAGCGUGGGGAGCGAACAGG